rnacentral:rRNA from 1 species
ACGAGUGGCGGACGGGUGAGUAACACGUGGGUAACCUGCCCUUAAGUGGGGGAUAACAUUUGGAAACAGAUGCUAAUACCGCAUAGAUCCAAGAACCGCAUGGUUCUUGGCUGAAAGAUGGCGUAAGCUAUCGCUUUUGGAUGGACCCGCGGCGUAUUAGCUAGUUGGUGAGGUAACGGCUCACCAAGGCGAUGAUACGUAGCCGAACUGAGAGGUUGAUCGGCCACAUUGGGACUGAGACACGGCCCAAAUUCCUACGGGAGGCAGCAGUAGGGAAUCUUCCACAAUGGACGCAAGUCUGAUGGAGCAACGCCGCGUGAGUGAAGAAGGCUUUCGGGUCGUAAAACUCUGUUGUUGGAGAAGAAUGGUCGGCAGAGUAACUGUUGUCGGCGUGACGGUAUCCAACCAGAAAGCCACGGCUAACUACGUGCCAGCAGCCGCGGUAAUACGUAGGUGGCAAGCGUUAUCCGGAUUUAUUGGGCGUAAAGCGAGCGCAGGCGGUUUUUUAAGUCUGAUGUGAAAGCCCUCGGCUUAACCGAGGAAGCGCAUCGGAAACUGGGAAACUUGAGUGCAGAAGAGGACAGUGGAACUCCAUGUGUAGCGGUGAAAUGCGUAGAUAUAUGGAAGAACACCAGUGGCGAAGGCGGCUGUCUGGUCUGUAACUGACGCUGAGGCUCGAAAGCAUGGGUAGCGAACAGGAUUAGAUACCCUGGUAGUCCAUGCCGUAAACGAUGAAUGCUAGGUGUUGGAGGGUUUCCGCCCUUCAGUGCCGCAGCUAACGCAUUAAGCAUUCCGCCUGGGGAGUACGACCGCAAGGUUGAAACUCAAAGGAAUUGACGGGGGCCCGCACAAGCGGUGGAGCAUGUGGUUUAAUUCGAAGCAACGCGAAGAACCUUACCAGGUCUUGACAUCUUUUGAUCACCUGAGAGAUCAGGUUUCCCCUUCGGGGGCAAAAUGACAGGUGGUGCAUGGUUGUCGUCAGCUCGUGUCGUGAGAUGUUGGGUUAAGUCCCGCAACGAGCGCAACCCUUAUGACUAGUUGCCAGCAUUUAGUUGGGCACUCUAGUAAGACUGCCGGUGACAAACCGGAGGAAGGUGGGGAUGACGUCAAAUCAUCAUGCCCCUUAUGACCUGGGCUACACACGUGCUACAAUGGAUGGUACAACGAGUUGCGAGACCGCGAGGUCAAGCUAAUCUCUUAAAGCCAUUCUCAGUUCGGACUGUAGGCUGCAACUCGCCUACACGAAGUCGGAAUCGCUAGUAAUCGCGG